rnacentral:lncRNA from 1 species
GAAGAUUAACAGACAUCCCACAUUGCUUAGGAAGGCUAGAAACUCGUCCGGUAUCAACCUUGUUUCCCACAAUGGCUAAGGCCGAUUUUAUGCAGUUGCAGGUAGCUAUUUUAUCUGGUUUUGACGUUGCUUGUGCAAGAAUACUCUUCACUCCUGCACAGCAGUCACUUGUUGGUUGUGCAGAUUGGUCGUCAAUGUAUGAUACGCACGAGGUCAGUUUCGCAGUGACAGUCGAGCAUGAAGGUGCAGCGGCCGUGGCUGGCCUUAACACUAACAGUACAAAGAUGGAUAGAAUUUCGAGUAGUAGAGCCAUUUUUGCUCUUUCAAGAAAGUUAAGAGCAAAUGUUCAAAGGAUUUUCAGUUGUAAGUAACACUGUUUUUGCUUGGGCAGAGGAGAUGUAUAUAGGCUUGCUAUCAGUUGCUUGUUUGCUUAAAAUCCCCAAGUGGACAGACCAUGCAAUUGUCAUGAGCCUUGUUCUUUUGGGUGGAUGCUUCAACUGAAAUUUCAUUGCCAUUUGGGGUUUCUUUACCACCUGAAAAUGAAAUUGCAAAAUGCCACGGCAUUUAGCCCUUGUUUGAUAAUCAUUAUUUUUAAAUCUUUUUUUACACACUUAUUUUCAACUACACAUUUAUAUAAUAAAAUAUUCUGCACGUAAACUCAAAACUUUUUUCUCCCUUUUAAUCACACAAUCUCCUAAAAAUCACUGUUCAAAACUCUAAUUUUUUUCAAAUAAUGGUUGUCAAACAAGAGCUUAAAUUGUCGUGUUGGAAGCAGGCAUGGUUGACCCGAUCAUUGUAGCAUGAAAUGGGUUAAAGGGAGAAGUUCCCACCAACUAUAGCCAAAUAAAACUCCCUUAAUUCCUUGGACAUGAAAGCGGAAGGAUAAAAUUCUCUCAAGAAAAUACAACAAAAUUUGUAUUGAAAAGGCAAGAAACACCAAUUUUGGCAUACAGUCAUCCCACAAAGGGUCUUUGAAGCUAUAGUAUUUUUGAAUUCUGACAACAAAAAUGAACUCAAAAUAUUAAAAUUAGGGGAAUAAAAAGAAAAAUUGUAUGAAACGUCACCUUUGAGACUUAGUACACUUGUAGUUGUAUUACACGCGCCUCUUUUAUUUAAAAGAAAAAAAAAAGGAAAAAAAAUCAAAAUGUGUUCCCAGCGUACGUGAGCGUGUGGGUACUCCAAAUGCAUAUUGAUCCCUGCAAUAUUCUUGAUUUUUCAGUAUAUAAAGUAAAUUAGUUUUCAUAUAGUUAAAAAUAUUUUUUAUUUGAUGAUUAAAAUACAUUUAUAAAAAUAUGAAAGUUAUUUUUCCUUCAAUUAAAUUCUGAAUUUUCUAUGAAAUCAAAAAUAUUUAUUAAGUAGUUUAUUGCUCAGUGGAAGGAUUAUUAAUUGAUGUUGAAUUUGAAGGAAGAGAUGCAACAAUAAAAUUGGGCUAGUGGAUGCAAAGAUUAAAAGAGAAGAAAAGUUAUGGACUUUCUGGUGUCUAAUAGUAGAUACAUGUUUUUGUGUACAUGUUUCCAUUAAUAUAAUUUUGCUUGCUUGAUUUUUUAUUGAAUAAACUUCGUUUGUAAUGUGCCAAAUACAUUCUCUAAUGUGAACACCGAUUUUUUUUAUCACUCGACAGUUUGAAUUAUACGAACGGGUCUUAAAAAUUUCGUGUGUUGAAAUUUUGGUAUUGGGAUCUUUGUUGUUAUUCUUGUCCUAUCACUCUAUAAGUUCCUUUUUAGUUAUAGCAGUUUGAUUCACCAGCAUUGAAGGAAAUGAACGGCGAAAUAUUUGGCUCAUGGAUGCAUAAAAAAAGAAAUGUUUGUCUGUAUUCUAUCUGAGAAUGGAGAUUUAUCAGCCCAUUUUUCCUGAAUCAAUAAAUUUAUGUCUAUAAUAUGGAAUCUCAAGUCACUUUUUAUACUCAUCUUGUGGUUGCACAAUUAAUUGAACAUCUAGGUGAAUGUAAAUUUCUCACAUUUCUGAUGGUUUAUGCUGAAGUAAUGUUUGUUAAGAUAACAUAGUAAGUGUGAUCAUGUCAGUGAAAACACAUACUAGUGGUCACCAUAUUCAUUGGUUCACUUUGAGAGAUGAGCGGUGAAAUUUGAGACACACACUGAGAAGCACAAUAUUACCAUUGUAACCUUCUUUUUCUUAAUGGAAAUAUGCAGCAUCAAGUGGACGUAAUAAACCACAUGAAACCUUUGUCUUGCCAGACAAUAAGUUAUUGUAACUUGAGAUUGUUAUUGCAAUACCAUAAAAAUUUGAAGUUCGCACAAAGCAUCUUAAACUCAUUGCAUUAGUCUGUUGAGAUAUCUGUUUGGCAGUGCUAGACAUCACAACACGAGAUUUAUUUUUAUUAUUUUUUUUCGGUUCAAUAUUUCUUUUACUGUCCAACCCUCCUUACCAAAUAAGCAAUAAUUGAACCAUUAUGUUGCGAAGAUGAAGACCACAUUUGUUUUUUUGAUCACUUCAAUCCCAUCAAGACCAGUAUUUUUCAGUUGUUUCAUUUUAGUCUUGUUUGGAAUUUGGUUCAAGAUGGUGAAGAAUAUAUAACAGAAAAUUCUACUUUCCAGGCAGGGAGAAGUGCUUCAGUUUAUUCACAGAUUAUUUAUCUAGGAGGUUGAGGCAGUUUUGAACAAAGGAUAGUAAGAUACAAGAGCCUCAUGGAUGUCCACAGCCAGAUUGCACUUAGCUAAAAUGAAGAAGACACAGGUUGAUCUAGCUUCUAUUGUUAUCUAUGAAAGAUAUUUUAUGUUUAUGAUUUUGCUUUGUUCUGCUCCAACAUUUGCUCUGAGUAGCACUUUCUUAGUCAGCUCAUGACUAAAUAAAGAACCUUUUUAGGAUCCACAUAAUACAUCCGAAAUUAAUCCUGCUAAUCAGGCUUCACAUGAGUCCAUAAAUGAACAACCAAAGAAUGCCGAAGAGACUCCUGUGCCAGAUUCAGGUUCAGUUUCAGCAUCAACCAUUGAUAACAGAAAAGUUUCGCGAGAGGAUAUUGAACUUGUAGGGCAAUUUUCUCUUUUGGUCUUUUCUCAUUCUUUUUGAGAAUUCCAUGAAGAAUUUUUGCCUGCGAUCUCUAUAUCAAAAUGUAUUCAUAAUCUGCUACAGGUCCAGAAUUUGAUCGAACGAUGCCUACUGUUAUACAUGAAUAGAGAUGAGGUGGUAAAGACCUUACUGAAUAGUGCCAGGAUAGAUGCCGGGUUCACAACAUUAGGUAGGUAUUUUUCAGGUUAUCAAAAGAAACUUCCUAUGCAUUGGCAUCUGGGUACUAUGAUUAGUUGCUCUUUUGAUAUAUGCUUCUCUGAGGCUUAAAAUCUGAUUUAAUUACAUUGCCGAAUCUUCUAUAUUCAUUUCUCUUCUUCAUUUUCUUUAUCAAUAUAGUUUGGCAGAAAUUAGAAGAAGAAAAUGCUGUCUUUUUCCGGGGCUACUACAUAAGGCUUAAAUUGAAGAAACAAAUUCUCUUAUUCAAUCACUUGCUUGAGCAUCAGUAUCAUCUAAUGAAGUAUCCAAUGCCUACAAGGGUUCCUUUGGCUCCUAUGCAGAAUGGAAUUCAUCCAAUGCCAGGUAAAUCUUAAUUUCUGUCGUUUAUUUGAGUAAAAUACUAUAUUCUAUAUUUUAAUUUGAAAACUCAAUGAUGAGAUUCUAAAUUGUUCUUGUAUCCAUUAGAAGUGAUAAUUGCGCCAGAUCUACAGUGCUUAUGCAACGUGAGAGAGUUAAAGAAAUCUGUUGGUGCAAAAAAUAAAAAAAUAAAUAAAAAUUGAAAAUACUCUUCAUGUUUUAGUUCUUCAUUGUUAACUUAGGUUCAAUGGAUGCACAUCUGUCUCCUAAACUGUGCCCUUCCAUAAUUUUUUCCCUUAAAAAUAAAUAAUAUAUCUGUUGUCUGCCAACAGUAUGGUGAAAUUCUCAUUCCUGAUGCCACAGUAUCUUAGAAGAUACGACAAUUUCUGACUAGAAUUGAAAAUUUUCGUGUGUGUGUUUCGCUGUUCUUGUACUGCUAAGUCAUUGCUGAUUUGGUAGAAAUACAUUUUAUGUAAGUUUUAUCUCAGAAAAUAUUGCAAUCAUUUAAUCACCAGGACACAAUCGCUCUACUAAAAUGGAAAAAUAAACAGGUCUUCCAUGGUUCAACAAAAAAGAUUCAUGACAAUUAUUUUAAAUAUCCAUUUGAAUUUUUUUAUUAAGCUUGUUUUUACUAUCAGAUUCUAUUGUUCUUUUUGUGUCCUUUACUUGAUCAUUAAUUGUCAUGAAGGAAGGCUUUUGCUGUCGAGAUCAUGGUGUUUAUGGCCGGCCUUUGUCUACUGGAACCGGCCUUUUUGAUUUUGGCAAUUAAGUUGCUCUGGAAAAUGCAGUGUUAUCUCCAUGUGUCUUCCCCUCUUCGAGCCCCCCUCCCUCUAGAUCUUAAUGCUUUCUCUAUUCUUGGAGUAGGAUGUAGAUGAGUAGGCCACUGAAAGGGUUGAAUCACAGCUAUUUUGUGUGUAUUAAAUUGCUUUUUUCCGUAUUAUUUUAUUAUCGUUAUUCAAUGCCACUUGUUUGCAUUGCAGUCAACAACUUACCUAUGGGAUAUCCCAUUUUGCACCAGCCUCCAGUUCCAGCUACAGGGCAAUCUCUUCUUGAUUAUAUGGGUUAUUCCACAAAUAUCUGUCACGUAGUAAAUGGAGUUCCUGCUCCUGGCACAGGCAAUUUUCAUCCAAUGCGGAUGAAUUCUGGAAAUGAGUGAGAACUCUCUUCUCUACUAGGAUCAGCUCUCUGUUUUUCCCCUCUUGUCUGACAUUUGAAAAGAAUUUGGAUAUCCAUGAAUUUCUCUUCCUUCAUGUAGUUCCUAAAUCUCUUCUAUGCUUAUCGAAUCUUCUCGCUUCAUAUAUGUUUUUAUCUUGCUAUACAUAAACCUGCACGAGAACUAUUAUUGCAAUUGGUCCUGCCAAAGUAUCUUUACCAUUUAACUUCUGGAGCGUAUUUCUUCACUUGAUCAAUAAUUGAGGUGCUAAAUUGUUGCUCCUUCUAUUGACCAGUUCUUUGAUAUGUUGUCACAGUGAUAUCUUUGCGUAAAACAACUUUAAAAAUAUAUUUUCAAUCUCUCUUAAGGAUAUUAACAUGCGUUGAAGCCUGAAAACAAUUACAUUUUUUCGUUGAAGUUCAGUGUAUCAGAAAAGAAAUCAAGUUAGUUAUAAACUUCUGGAGAUAUAUGAAAUUUCUAUGAUGAAACUAUUAUAAAUUGGUAUAUUUUCUGCUGACAAUCAUAGUUCUUUUUUUGCUCUGAAGUAUGGUGAUUGACACAAACGGAACUGAUGCUCCUGCUAUGACAACAAACAAUGCAAUGCUAUCCAUAUCAGAUAUGCCGGUAAGCCCAACAUCAGUGGCUUCGAGUGGCCAUUUCCCAUUCAUUGCUUCGGAGAUAUCGAGCAUGGGAAUAGAAACAUCAGCAUUUGAUAUGGCAUUUACGUCUGAUGUAGCUAGUUCAGUAGGACUGCAGCUUCCUGCAGAUAAUGGAAAUGAGAAUUCUAGAGAUUCGCUCAGUUCAUGGGCUCAAAUAUCUUGGAAUUUCAGCCUUUCGGACCUAACAGCAGACCUAUCAAGCUUGGGAGGUAAUCCUCUCCUAAUCAGUUGUUAUAUGCUUUGAUAUAACAAUUUAAUGCAAGAAAGUCUCUUUCCUUCAUGCUGCUAUGUUUUUUUUUCCUUACCCCCUUUAAACAACUGUAAUUAAUGGUGCUUGUUGCUAUGAAAAUAUUUCCAGAACUAGGAGCUCUUGGAAACUCUUCUGGUUCUCCCUUUUUGCAUUCAGAUUCAGAUAUUCUUCUUGAUUCUCCAGACCGAAAGGAUAUAGGUAAAAAGGGAAACAGCCAUUUCCUUAAGUACACUUCACUUCUAUUGACAUUGAUGAGAUUUAGGGAGAUAAAAGUGCUAAUCUGAUGCUGCUUUUUUAGUAGAAUUUAAUGGUCUUCUAUUCUUGAGGACUCAGACCUCCUUUGACUUAUAUAGCUAAUUAAUUCUAGAAAAAGGCCUUGUUUGUUUGCCAUGAUACUGUUCCCAAUUCUAUAUUCCUUCACUACAUGGCUGUGAAUUGAGGUAAAGUUCUCCGAGUCUUAUACAGCAAUCUUUGUGUCGCAAGUUUCCAUGUUAUGUUCAUUUAUGCAAUAUCAUGAAGCUAAUUCCUACUCAAAAAUGAUGAUUACUUCGACAAAUGUUAAAGCACUUGACUUGAAGAAUUGGUAAAGGCUUCCAUUUCAAUGAAAGUUCGAUAAGUUUCUUAAGUGUAUUUUAUGCCAACCAUUGGAGCCAAUAGUAGUUGAUAAACAAAAAUACGGAGAAAUAUGUAGAAUAGACAUAUCAAAGGUCACAUCAUAAAUGGCCUAAGUCGAUUUUGAGAUUUUCUUCCACCACUGGGAUUUUGGUUCCAUUAUAUAAUAAGACCACCAAGUUUGCUGAGGAGGGGCCUAGUUGAAUAAAAAUAUUUCAGUCUUCUCAAUUCUCUCUCCAAAUUCUUGGUAUCCUGCAUGAAUCAAGUUUUUGAUGUUUAUAAAAUUUUGGCUAUGUUUAGGUUGAAAAUUAGUUCAUUUAUUUCUAGUUUUCUACACGAUGGAAUGACAGUUUUGGUCCUUAUUUGCUGCUUGCUAUGGAAUUUUUUCUACCCUUUUUUCACACAUUCACGUGACUUCGUUUCAGUGGAGGAGUUCUUCAUUGAUUCUGUUCCUGGGCAGUCAUCUCCGCCAUUGGAUGAAGAGAAGUCCCAGCUUAAGGGGAGAGAUACUUUCACCUCCAUGAAAUCUGACAAUAAUCUCUAUUAGGCAUGUCAAGCCUACACACAGGCAAAGUUAGGUUUAAAGCUUUCAUCUGGUAUAGAGAUCUGUCUUAAUAGAGCAGUCCUGUUAUUUAGUUUUCAUAUUUUGUAAUCCUAAUUUCUGCAAUGAAUGCUGAUCAUGAUAUCGUGUUUUUUACCAUUACAAUGAUUUGCACAUUAAUGGCGUUCAUUUAUGUAAGGAUUCACAUAACCGACCUAAAUUUGUUGAGAAUAAUGCUCAGUUUUGUCAUCGUAAUAUGAAGCUCACCCUCAUUAGUAAUUACAAUAUGCUAGAUGUUGGAAUAGAUUAUAUAUUUCCAUUAUGUUAGAGUAGGUAUGGAAAAAAAAUUAUUGAACUACUUGUAUUUUCAUUCUGAUAUUUCUCGUGUUUAUUUUUCGGUUUUUCAAGUUUGUUAACGGAGUAUAGUUUUUCUCAUUCUUACUUUUCGACAUCUCUAAACUAUUCCCGAAGUUUCCAAAAGUUACGAUUUUCAAAAUGUGUACUAGUCGAUCGAUCAAGUCAUAUUAUUCGCUGAAAUGACUGUCCAACUUUUAAUACCAUACUUUUUAUUUUACAAUAUUGUGACACAAAUCUUGAAAAAACUGGACGUGCAGAACAUCUCAGUGCAUUAUAAACUUUGCUGAUGAUUUAAUUAUCCAAACAUAGCUGUCAUUAUUCCAUAAUUAGGUUCUCAAUUUUAUUCGGAUUAGAGCAUAAAAUUAUUCCGCAAACACUCACGGGAAAUACCAAGAAAUCCUGCAUACAAAAAACCAGAAGUCAGAUUUAUGGCGAGUUGAGGAACGAAGAGAUCAAGAGCAGUAAACUUACUUGGAACAGUCAUAGUUUUUAUCAAUUGGAGGAAGAUUAACAGACAUCCCACAUUGCUUAGGAAGGCUAGAAACUCGUCCGGUAUCAACCUUGUUUCCCACAAUGGCUAAGGCCGAUUUUAUGCAGUUGCAGGUAGCUAUUUUAUCUGGUUUUGACGUUGCUUGUGCAAGAAUACUCUUCACUCCUGCACAGCAGUCACUUGUUGGUUGUGCAGAUUGGUCGUCAAUGUAUGA